UAUUGGACAAUGCCCGCAAGGGUGAUCCAGCCAUGCCGCGUGCAGGAAGACGGCCCUAUGGGUUGUAAACUGCUUUUACACCGGAGAAAACCCUCGUUCGUGAACGAGGCUGAUAGUAUGGUGAGAAUAAGCAUCGGCUAACUUCGUGCCAGCAGCCGCGGUAAGACGAAGGAUGCAAGCGUUAUCCGGAUUCAUUGGGUUUAAAGGGAGCGUAGGCGGUCCUGUAAGUCAGUGGUGAAAUCUCUCGGCUUAACCGAGAAAUUGCCAUUGAUACUGCAGAACUUGAGUACAGUUGCCGUUGGCGGAAUAUGACAUGUAGUGGUGAAAUACAUAGAGAUGUCAUAGAACACCGAUUGCGAAGGCAGCUAACGAAACUGUAACUGACGCUGAGGCUCGAAAGUGCGGGGAUCAAACAG
rnacentral:rRNA from 1 species